AUUCCGUGAUCAUCGAAUCUUUGAACGCACAUU
rnacentral:rRNA from 1 species